rnacentral:rRNA from 1 species
UACGUAGGGGGCGAGCGUUGUCCGGAUUUAUUGGGCGUAAAGAGCUCGUAGGCGGUUCGAUAAGUCGGACGUGAAAUCUCCACGCUCAACGUGGAGGGGCCGUUCGAUACUGUCGUGACUCGAGUCCGGUAGGGGAGUGUGGAAUUCCCGGUGUAGCGGUGAAAUGCGCAGAGAUCGGGAGGAACACCCGUAGCGAAGGCGGCACUCUGGGCCGGUACUGGACGCUGAGGAGCGAAAGCGUGGGG